rnacentral:rRNA from 1 species
UACGUAGGGGGCAAGCGUUGUCCGGAAUUAUUGGGCGUAAAGAGCGUGUAGGCGGUCCGGUAAGUCAGCUGUGAAAGUCAAGGGCUCAACCCUUGAAAGCCGGUUGAUACUGUCGGGCUAGAGUCCGGAAGAGGCGAGUGGAAUUCCCGGUGUAGCGGUGAAAUGCGCAGAGAUCGGGAGGAACACCCGUAGCGAAGGCGGCACUCUGGGCCGGUACUGACGCUGAGGAGCGAAAGCGUGGGGGGCAAACAGG